rnacentral:rRNA from 1 species
AUUGAACGCUGGCGGCAGGCUUAACACAUGCAAGUCGAGCGGGGUGAUGGUGCUUGCACUAUCACUUAGCGGCGGACGGGUGAGUAAUGCUUAGGAAUCUGCCUAUUAGUGGGGGACAACAUCUCGAAAGGGAUGCUAAUACCGCAUACGUCCUACGGGAGAAAGCAGGGGAUCACUUGUGACCUUGCGCUAAUAGAUGAGCCUAAGUCGGAUUAGCUAGUUGGUGGGGUAAAGGCCUACCAAGGCGACGAUCUGUAGCGGGUCUGAGAGGAUGAUCCGCCACACUGGGACGGAACCACGGCCCAGACUCCUACGGGAGGCAGCGGUGGGGAAUAUUGGACAAUGGGGGGAACCCUGAUCCAGCCAUGCCGCGUGUGUGAAGAAGGCCUUAUGGUUGUAAAGCACUUUAAGCGAGGAGGAGGCUCUUUUGGUUAAUACCCAAGAUGAGUGGACGUUACUCGCAGAAUAAGCACCGGCUAACUCUGUGCCAGCAGCCGCCGUAA